rnacentral:rRNA from 1 species
CCCUAUGGGUUGUAAACUGCUUUUAUUUGGGAAUAAACCUCUUUACGUGUAGAGAGCUGAAGGUACCAAAUGAAUAAGCACCGGCUAACUCCGUGCCAGCAGCCGCGGUAAUACGGAGGGUGCAAGCGUUAUCCGGAAUCAUUGGGUUUAAAGGGUCCGCAGGCGGAUUUAUAAGUCAGUGGUGAAAUCCUAUCGCUUAACGAUAGAACUGCCAUUGAUACUGUAAGUCUUGAAUUCGGUCGGAGUGGGCGGAAUGUGUAGUGUAGCGGUGAAAUGCAUAGAUAUUACACAGAACACCGAUAGCGAAGGCAGCUCACUAGGCCUGAAUUGACGCUCAGGGACGAAAGCGUGGGGAUCAAACAGGAUUAGAUACCCUGGUAGUCCACGCUGUAAACGAUGAUUACUCGUUUUCGGCGAUAUACAGUCGGAGACUAAGCGAAAGUGAUAAGUAAUCCACCUGGGGAGUACGAUCGCAAGGUUG